UUUAAUAUUAUUUUAUUAGGUGCUUUACAAGUUAAAAGGGAAAGUGGUGAAAAUCCACUGCAGCCCACCGUUACUGUAAUGCUGACGAAAUCUUAUAAAAUCCACUAGAUAUAUUUUAUCUGGGAAGGUUAGAAAUUAGGAAGAAGCUAAGCCAGGAAACCUGCCUAAUAAGUGUUAAUUCUU
rnacentral:ncRNA from 16 species